UACGUAGGGUGCAAGCGUUGUCCGGAAUUAUUGGGCGUAAAGAGCUCGUAGGCGGUCUGUCGCGUCGGCUGUGAAAUCCCGAGGCUCAACCUCGGGUCUGCAGUCGAUACGGGCAAACUAGAGUAUUGCAGGGGAGACUGGAAUUCCUGGUGUAGCGGUGGAAUGCGCAGAUAUCAGGAGGAACACCGGUGGCGAAGGCGGGUCUCUGGGCAAUAACUGACGCUGAGGAGCGAAAGCGUGGGGAGCGAACAGG
rnacentral:rRNA from 1 species